rnacentral:rRNA from 1 species
AGCGAACGCUGGCGGCAGGCCUAACACAUGCAAGUCGAACGAACUCUUCGGAGUUAGUGGCGGACGGGUGAGUAACACGUGGGAACGUGCCUUUAGGUUCGGAAUAACUCAGGGAAACUUGAGCUAAUACCGGAUGUGCCCUUCGGGGGAAAGAUUUAUCGCCUUUAGAGCGGCCCGCGUCUGAUUAGCUAGUUGGUGAGGUAAAGGCUCACCAAGGCGACGAUCAGUAGCUGGUCUGAGAGGAUGAUCAGCCACAUUGGGACUGAGACACGGCCCAAACACGUGGGGGAGGCGGGAGGGGGGAAUCGGGAGAAAGGGACAGCAGCGGGACGAAGCCAGGGUGGGAGAGUGAGAAAGGUCUUAGGACUGAAAAUUCCUUCCCGCGGGGAAGAUGAGGCCGGUACCCGGAGAGGAGGCCCGGGCUAACGUGGGGCCGGCAGCGGGGGUAAUAGAGGGACGAGCGACGUCUGCAC